GGGGACGACUGGUUUUGACAGCAAGGACAGUUGAUUUGUAAGCAUAUCAAGGAUUGAAAUUACACUUGUAAAACUAUUUCAACUUUUUAAACGGCGAAGAUAACUACGCUUUAGCUGCAUAAUUCGAAUCACAGUAGAAUUUGCCUAGGCUCACAAGGUGAGCAAGCUUUAUGUCCACGAAAAGCCUUGAUUUACGGCGUUUCACUUUUGGAUAUCGUAAAAGUAAAUAUAGAAAACCUGAAGCUUUGGUGGGUUUUUGAAACUAAAGAAGAUAAGUUAAAAGUGGAUUGUUCUUAAUCAGCUUUUAAACGAAAACCAAGAAAGAACUAAGUAUGUAGAAAGCUUUUUAGCUGCUUGUUUGGACCCGAGUUCGAUUCUCGGCGUCUCCACUU
rfam:Polaribacter sp. LPB0003 LPB3_25, whole genome shotgun sequence.